rnacentral:rRNA from 1 species
GAUGAACGCUGUCUACAGGCUUAACACAUGCCAGUCGAGGGGAAACGCCGGGGAAGCUUGCUUCCCCGGGCGUCGACCGGCGCACGGGUGAGUAACGCGUAUCCAACCUGCCUCUGACUGAGGGAUAACCCGUCGAAAGUCGGCCUAAUACCUCAUGGCAUCGUCUGCGGGCAUCCAACGACGAUUAAAGAUUUCAUCGGUCAGGGAUGGGGAUGCGUCUGAUUAGCUUGUUGGCGGGGUAACGGCCCACCAAGGCUACGAUCAGUAGGGGUUCUGAGAGGAAGGUCCCCCACAUUGGAACUGAGACCCGGUCCAAACUCCUACGGGAGGCAGCAGUGAGGAAUAUUGGUCAAUGGGCGGGAGCCUGAACCAGCCAAGUAGCGUGCAGGAUGACGGCCCUAUGGGUUGUAAACUGCUUUUAUGCGGGGAUAAAGUGAGGGACGUGUCCUUCAUUGCAGGUACCGCAUGAAUAAGGACCGGCUAAUUCCGUG